rnacentral:tRNA from 1 species
CGAGGUGUGGCGCAGUUUGGUAGCGCACAUGGUUUGGGACCAUGGGGCCGGAGGUUCGAAUCCUCUCACCUCGACCA